UACGUAGGGUGCAAGCGUUGUCCGGAUUUACUGGGCGUAAAGAGCGCGCAGGCGGUCGUUCAAGUCGAGUGUGAAAGCCCCCGGCUCAACUGGGGAGGGUCACGCGAUACUGAUCGACUCGAAGGCAGGAGAGGGUAGUGGAAUUCCCGGUGUAGUGGUGAAAUGCGUAGAUAUCGGGAGGAACACCAGUGGCGAAGGCGACUACCUGGCCUGUUUCUUGACGCUGAGGCGCGAAAGCUAGGGGAGCAACGGG
rnacentral:rRNA from 1 species